CAAUACCUAGUGGCAGACGGGUGAGUAACACGUGGGCAACCUACCGUAGAGCGGGGGAUAACUAGCCGAAAGGUUAGCUAAUACCGCAUGAAACGUGCUGUGGCAUCACAGAACUUUAAAAGCAGCAAUGCACUUUACGACGGGCCCGCGCCCGAUUAGCUUGUUGGUGGGGUAAUGGCCUACCAAGGCUCCGAUCGGUAGCUGGUUUGAGAGAGCGACCAGCCACACUGGGACUGAGAAACGGCCCAGACUCCUACGGGAGGCAGCAGUGAGGAAUUUUCCGCAAUGGGCGAAAGCCUGACGGAGCGACGCCGCGUGUGGGAAGAAGGCCUUCGGGUCGUAAACCACUGUCGAAGGGGACUAUAAUGAAGGUACCCUUGGAGGAAGCCCCGGCUAACUACGUGCCAGCAGCCGCGGUAAG
rnacentral:rRNA from 1 species